rnacentral:tRNA from 1 species
CUGUAGCUCAGCUGGAUAGAGCAACGGCCUUCUAAGCCGUGGGUCGGAGGUUCGAAUCCCCUCAG